rnacentral:rRNA from 1 species
AGAGUUUGAUCAUGGCUCAGAACGAACGCUGGCGGCAGGCCUCAAACAUGCAAGUCUAGGGGGUGUAGCAAUACAUCACCGGCGGACGGGUGCGUAACACGUGGGAAUAUACCUUUCGGUACGGAACAACUGAGGGAAACUUCAGCUAAUACCGUAUACGUCCUAACGGAGAAAGAUUUAUCGCCGAAGGAUUAGCCCGCGCUCGAUUAGCUAGUUGGUGAGGUAAUGGCUCACCAAGGCUACGAUCGAUAGCUGUUCUGAGAGGAAGAUCAGCCGCACUGGGACUGAGACACGGCCCAGACUCCUACGGGAGGCAGCAGUUGGGAAUCUUGGACAAUGGGGGAAACCCUGAUCCAGCCAUGCCGCGUGAGUGAUGAAGGCCUUCGGGUUGUAAAGCUCUUUUACCCGGGAAGAUAAUGACUGUACCGGGAGAAUAAGCUCCGGCUAACUUCGUGCCAGCAGCCGCGGUAAUACGAAGGGGGCUAGCGUUGUUCGGAAUUACUGGGCGUAAAGCGCGCGCAGGCGGUUUUUCAAGUCAGUGGUGAAAGCCCGGAGCUCAACUCCGGAACUGCCAUUGAAACUGUGAAACUUGAGGACGAGAGAGGUGAGUGGAAUUCCCAGUGUAGAGGUGAAAUUCGUAGAUAUUGGGAAGAACACCGGUGGCGAAGGCGGCUCACUGGCUCGUUUCUGACGCUCAGGCGCGACAGCGUGGGGAUCAAACAGGAUUAGAUACCCUAGUAGUCC